rnacentral:hammerhead_ribozyme from 1 species
UCAUUGCUGAAGAGUCCCAUACUAGGACGAAACGGCUGUCCAGUGC